AUCAUCAGACCAUUCUGAAGAGGAGGAGUUGGCACAGUUACUUCUCCUCUCUGAGCCUCGAUCUCCCUGCCGGCAAAAUGGGGAUCCUUGUCCCAGCUCCACUCACUCUAUAGGGUUCGUUUGAGGCUCAUGGAAUGAAAAGAUCUAAAGAAGUCUGGCCAGAGGGACACUGAGAUGAGCAAUGUGGUUGGAGGAGAGGAUACUGACCCAAGAAUUCUCUGGAUAAGAAGAAGGAGGAGGGGAAGCCUGAAGUGGAUGGGUCGAGCCUCAGCUGUGGAAGAAUUGCUAAUUACAGCCACCAUAAGGAAAUAUCAAUGAUGGACGUCAAUAUUAUUGCCUCCUGCAUCCCUGCCUGUUUAUUUGGAGAUGAAAAGCGCCCUAGGGUCAUCUCUCCAGGACGAAGAUGAGUGAUGACAGAAGGGAGGAGAGCUACACAUGGAGAAAAGGGCAUCCUCCAGCUGGAUUCAUUCAUGAAACCAGGACCCAUUUCCUCUGGGCAGAGUUCUCUCCACUGAGGGCCCAGGGCUGGGGCUGAGGGCAAAGGAACCUGCACAGGGAGGAGGAACUAGUGAUCCUGCUCCCAGCCCUGGUUCACCAAGUGACUGCAUGUAUGCCUCUUUGUGCCUCAGUUAACUCAUCUGAUAAAUGGGUAUGACAAUUCC
rnacentral:lncRNA from 1 species